CACCACUCACUUUCUUAAUCGCAGCAUAAUCACCAUUAAUUAAGCCACGAUAAACAGAUCCGCUAAUCCAACAACUGGGGCUGAAAUUAUCUGUCGCAGUUUCCAGUUCUUUGAACUUGUAAACUUUAAUGGAUUCAGCUAUACUAGAUAUGCUCUCCAAGAAGUCCUGAGAUUCUUCAUCCGACUUCUUGUUGAGGGGUUUCUCNNNNNNNNNNNNNCAGAGACGAUAACCAGAUCAGAUCUCUUCUUACUUUUACCAAACACUCUAAAGAAAAUAAU
rnacentral:misc_RNA from 1 species